GUUUGUUCUGAGAUAACUGAUAAUCUAUGAGGCAAAUAAGCCUGUCUACAUGUUGCUACAUUUUUGGUUACUCUUACUGGACUGAUUAUGCUUUUCUUCAUUGCUUAUCUGGCUAGAGCUAGAGUUUUAAAAUUGAUUUUCUCUGCUAUUAUAUAGUGACACUUUAAUUGGAUAUGUUUUUUAUAAUAUGUAGCAUGAUGAAAGAAAAAGGAAUCUGAAAUUAUUGUAGAGGGUAAUGUUUAAAUCUACUUAAGGAGCACAUAUUGAUAAUAUAUUUGGUAUUCCCUUAUUUUGAUUGUGUAGUAUGCAUUAUAUUCCUCAUUGAUGUUUACA
rnacentral:misc_RNA from 1 species